rnacentral:rRNA from 1 species
AUUGAACGCUGGCGGCAGGCCUAACACAUGCAAGUCGAGCGGAUGAAGGGAGCUUGCUCCUGGAUUCAGCGGCGGACGGGUGAGUAAUGCCUAGGAAUCUGCCUGGUAGUGGGGGAUAACGUCCGUAAACGGGCGCUAAUACCGCAUACGUCCUGAGGUAGAAAGUGGGGGAUCUUCGGACCUCACGCUAUCAGAUGAGCCUAGGUCGGAUUAGCUAGUUGGUGGGGUAAAGGCCUACCAAGGCGACGAUCCGUAACUGGUCUGAGAGGAUGAUCAGUCACACUGGAACUGAGACACGGUCCAGACUCCUACGGGAGGCAGCAGUGGGGAAUAUUGGACAAUGGGCGAAAGCCUGAUCCAGCCAUGCCGCGUGUGUGAAGAAGGUCUUCGGAUUGUAAAGCACUUUGAGUUGGGAGGAAGGGCAGUAAGUUAAUACCUUGCUGUUUUGACGUUACCAACAGAAUAAGCACCGGCUAACCUCGUG